AGCGAACGCUGGCGGCGUGCUUAACACAUGCAAGUCGAGUGCGCGUUUCGUAGCAAUACGGGAUGGCGCACGGCGCACGGGUGAGGAACACGUGGGCAACAUGCCCUCUGAUGGGGAAUAACCCCGCGAAAGCGGGGCUAAUACCGCAUAAGAUUCCGGGGACCUCGGUCCCUGGACUGAAAGCCCGCAAGGGCGUCGGAGGAGUGGCCCGCGGCCGAUUAGCUUGUUGGCGGGGUAACGGCCCACCAAGGCAAUGAUCGGUAGCCGGUCUGAGAGGAUGAUCGGCCACACUGGAACUGAGACACGGUCCAGACUCCUACGGGAGGCAGCAGUGGGGAAUCUUGCGCAAUGGGCGAAAGCCUGACGCAGCGACGCCGCGU
rnacentral:rRNA from 1 species